rnacentral:rRNA from 1 species
GACGAACGCUGGCGGCGUGCUUAACACAUGCAAGUCGAGCGAUGAAGCACCUUCGGGUGUGAAUUAGCGGCGAACGGGUGAGGAACACGUGAAGAAUCUGCCUUCAACUCUGGGAUAACUCCGGGAAACCGGGGCUAAUACCGGAUAUGAGCCUUGAUCGCAUGAUCGGGGCUGGAAAGUUUUUCGGUUGAAGAUGACUUCGCGGCCUAUCAGCUUGUUGGUGAGGUAAUGGCUCACCAAGGCGACGACGGGUAGCCGGCCUGAGAGGGCGACCGGCCACACUGGGACUGAGACACGGCCCAGACUCCUACGGGAGGCAGCAGUGGGGAAUAUUGGGCAAUGGAGGAAACUCUGACCCAGCGACGCCGCGUGAGGGAUGAAGGCCGAAGAUUCGGGUUGUAAACCUCUUUCAGUAGGAGCGAAAGUGACGGUACCUACAGAAGAAGC